UUUUUCACGAGUUUAAAGCUGUGUGACACCAUUUUUUUUCUCCAUAUUGACGGAUCAAAUCGGACAUCAAUAAAUCAAUCUGCGAUAUGGAUAGUGCAAGUUCAACAGCCAGUGAAAGUGAAACUUCACCUAAUAUUUCAUCAUUUCUCAGGAAAAGGAAAGCAGCUACCAAAACAUGAUAUCGAUGUUUUUGUUGUGGUACAACAUCUUGGAAAAAUCCAGAGAGAAGAUUCUUCGGAUUCCCUAAGGAUCCUGUGAGGUCAAAACAGUGGGCUGCCUGCACUAAAGAUCUGCUCAGCAAAUCUGCAGAUGAAUUAUACAGAAAACGGAAAAGUGUGUUCUAUACACUUCACUGAAAGUGACUUCCGUACAACCAAAUUCCGUUACCUACAUUCCUGUGCUGUACCGAAGAAGUUAGGGCAAACUGAUGAUGAAAGUCGAAAGACCGUGGGCGUAGUACAUACUGAAACGAUGUCACUGACUCAAAUAGAAAAAACAGAUGAGACUCAAGAACUGCCGUAUGUAACUGAGGACCAAAUUAAAAAUGUACUCCUUACAUUUGUUAAUACUAUUAUGUUUAUAAUUCAUUCUCCAAAUUUGGAUUUUAAUAUACUAUAAUUUUGGAAUUUUUUCAUCUGAUCUGUUGUAUAAGUAAAAUAUAAUUAAUUUUAUAUCUCUCAUAACAUGUAUAAUCCCAAAAUUCAUGAAAUUAUUAAGAAACUCCUCAAUCAGUUUAUUUUUUAUUUAAAUUUAGUGUGUGUGAGAAGCAGUAUCUUGAAAUAUAAAUAUGUAUUAAAGUUGUGUAUUCAAAAUUGUAUGUUAUGUAUUGUUUGAUUGGAAAAAAUUAAUUAAUUAAGAAAAUGAUUUUAUUUUUAUUUGUUAAAUUUUUCUGGGGAAUUUUGUGUCUAUUUUCUAUUAUGCUAAUAAUCAGUUUUUAUAUCAUAUUCUAAGUGAUUUAUUGAUUAUGAAUGCUAAUUUUUUUUAAGAGGGAAUAAUAGUGAACCAAUUACGUAUGAAUUUAGACUUAAAUGCUUCAUGAUUUUUAAGUUUAUUUGGAAAUGGUGCUUUUAAUUGACACACGUUGUCUUUAUAUACUUUAAUUUUAAGUACGCAGAUAUUAUGCAUUUCAGGAUAAAUUUCUUGAUGCAAAAUUUAUUCUUUGAUAAAUAUAUUUAUGUAUUGUGAAACUAAAUACAAUAUUGGUUGAAUCAUCCUGAAUGCACUGAAUUUUUUUUAUAAAAUUAAAUAAAGAAUAAUCAUCCAUAACUAAAUUCUGUGACCACUGAUUUGUUUUUAAAAAAAGCAAAAUAAGAGGAAUAACAAGUAUAUUUCAAAUGUUAUUAAUUGCAAUUAUGCAUACCAAUUUGUCAUAAUAAUGUAAUAUAUUAAUUCCAUAAUAAUGUUUCUUUCAGUAAUUCAUUUAAUAGUGUAGAAAAUCAUCAACUUAUGUUAUGUUUAUUUAUGUUUAAUAAUAGGAUUAGGAUUUGAGUUGCAGUAUAAAUAUUCAUUUACGCAAUGUUGCACGUAAUAAGUACUAAAUUAUACAGUUAGUGACUUCAGUAACCUAUACAGAUUUAAAUUUUUUAAAUGCAAUUUAGGAUUUUUUAAUUUUAAUAAUACUCUUAACCUCUUGGUUGUAAAUUUGGUUCUUCUGCUUUAUAUUUCAAUCAUAAUGCAGCAAAAUAUGUACAUUCCUUGAGUGUAAAUGUUCCUUUUAUAGUAUUAUAACUCUUGCAUAUACACUGACGGGACAAAACAUUAUGACCACUGAAAAAUGUGGGACACAUUUUUCAAUGAACUCGAAUGAAGGCUCGAAACAAGUUUCUAUGAAACUGAACAACUGGUAGGUUUUCGCAGUCUGCCAUUGUUAGUAUUUAUGCAAAUUGGAUAAAUGACACUGGAACCAGCAGUAGAUGGUAAGAUGUUCACACCCACGGAUCAUCAAAGAAAAAGGACUUUGGAGACUGUCCUUCUUGAUACAGCAAAAUCGGCACCACACAGCCACUGGAAAUGGAAUUGCCCCAUGUCACAAGGAUCGAAUUGUGUUCGAGUACGAGGAGCAUAACGAUGAAUACCAAUUAAGGUCCUGGCCACUUAACUCAUCAGAUCUUGAUGCGAUAUGGCAUAUUUAGAAUUUCAUGGAGUGGCAGAUCGGAGCUCGACACCACCAUGUUGGAAUAUCUCAACUGUGUGUGACCACUACUUAAACAUUUGUUACAACCUGUCUGCAGUCAUCUACCAAGAACUUGUGUUAUCCAUGCCAAGGCAAGUUGAAGCUGUUAUGUAGGCCAAAGGUUACACAUAGUGCUAUUGAGUAAGUGGUCAUAAUGUCUUGGCUUUUCAGUGUUGAAAUAUGCUUUGAAUAGUAACAAUGUGGAUUAUAUUGUGAAAGGAUUGCAAAACAUGGUAACAAUAGAAAACUUUAAGUAAAGAACAUUUAAGUUUAGGACACAUUAAAGAACAUUAUGAUAAGCACAACAAAAACUGCUAGCUAUUAUAAUUAUGUUAAUAAUAUGUGGUUUAAUAAUCCUGCAAAGAGUUUGUAAUAGAAAAAAUUUAUGAACAAGAAUGUUUAUACAUGAAAUGUUUUGAUAAGAAGAAAAAAAUUUUCUGACAUUGACAAAUCAGUUAA